rnacentral:tRNA from 1 species
GCCUCGGUGGCUCAGUUGGUUAAGUGCCUGACUUUGGCUCAGGUGACGAUCUCACAGUUUGUGGGUUCGAGCCCCACAUUGGGCU